GACGAACCGUGCGAACGUUGUUCGGAAUCACUGGGCUUAAAGGGCGCGUAGGCGGGCUCACAAGUCAGGGGUGAAAUCCCACGGCUCAACCGUGGAAGUGCCUUUGAUACUGUGGGUCUUGAGGGAGGUAGGGGCGUGCGGAACUUCCGGUGGAGCGGUGAAAUGCGUAGAUAUCGGAAGGAACACCGGUGGCGAAAGCGGCGCGCUGGACCUCUACUGACGCUGAGGCGCGAAAGCGUGGGGAGCGAACGGG
rnacentral:rRNA from 1 species